rnacentral:misc_RNA from 1 species
UAGACUUCGCUUCUCCCCUCUCCGUCGCCCCCCCUUCGCGCUUCAUUUCGCCGCCAAGGGGUACCCCGCCCUCCCACCCCUCCGUCCGUCCGUCACACAAACGUGCGACCGCUGCGUUCACUCGUUUUCUUCUGCGCGCUCGUUUGCUGUCCUCCGCGCCCUAUCAGAGGAGGUCGUUGUGCGUGCUGUGUGCCUGUGCGUGUGUGCGUCCGUCCUUCGCCCACUCGCAUCUUCCAUCUCACUCCACCCAUCUCUCUGCAGCCUCCACCGUGCCCUCCCCUGUGUCCCCUCAGCAAAUCCCGCUUGUGUGCGAACACAUCUGAGCUGCAGUGCGCCCCUCUUCUUCUCUUCCUCUUUCGCUGCGUCCUUCUCUUCGCCGGGUGCUUGAGGUCGAGCAGUGCGCGUGUGUGGGUGCCUAUCCUCCCCUGCGCGCAUCGCUACUAUCGUGUGUGUAUCCACACUUCCUCUUUCUUCCGUGUUGUUCUCCUUCGCGACGCGCGCGCUGCCUUGCGCCUCCCACACCGCUGUGCGCCGCUGUCGUCGUCUGCGAUUGCGAAGGUUAUUGCUGCACUCUCUUUUUCGUCUCGUGUGUCGUUGCCUCUGACGCCUCUGUGCGUGCGUGCACGUCUCCGUCUUCUACUGAGAAGGCUCCCGCAGUCGCUCUUUUUGCAUCAUCUCCCGCGAAGAGGGCGCUUGGGCGCAUCGGCACCACCACCACGGCCACACACACACACGCGCACAAGGCAGCGCUUUAGAUCUCUCCCUCCAACGCCCACCUCUUUUUCUUUUUUUUCGCAUGUCUGUGCGUGUCUGUGUACAUUCGUAAAGUAUUGCACCACCAUCGCCACCAUUGCCCACAUAUCUCGUUUUUUUUUGUUUUCCUUGUACCUCCCACCCCCUACCACCUCACUUGUACGCGUGUUGUCCUUCACCCUAUUAGAUCCAUUCUCUUACCUUGUACUGGGUUGCUCUCUCUUUCUUUUACAUCUGUCUAUCUUACAGCUCUGCUCUGGCGUGUGUUUACCUGUGCGUGCGUUUGCGUGCUCACCCGUCGCAGCUCGCCCUACCCUCAUCACAGACCUACGCGGCUGUCUCUUUCUUUUUCGCCUCACGCGCCGUCUUCUGUCGAGUGCACCGCCAGCCGCCCUUCCAUCUGCCGCACAAGCGAAGCGCGUAGCCCUCCCCAGCCCAGCCACCAGCACCACCACCACCAUAUACACAUACGCUGCGGUUCUUUCUCGCGCCUCUCGAGUGCUUUGGUGGCGUGUGCUUGUGUGUUUCUGUCUGCGCUUCCGCUUAGCCGAUUAGUUUUUUUUUCUUAUUUUGAAGUCCUUCGCACCUCCGCUCUGAGCGCAGCCCUUCGCUUUCCUUUCCUUUCGAUUAGACCUGUGCCCUUCACGGGCGUGUGUUUGCGGGAAAGUGUUCGCGAAGUGCGGGUGUGCGCUCUCACACACAGCCCCGCGCAUCCGCCGUCUCACAGCUUCACGCGCGUGCGGAGUCGUUCGCUGUUACGCCUGACGUGGGCGUGUCUGCGUGCACCACCCGCGACGACGAGAGCAGCACUGCUGACUUCGAGUGGGCGCGCCUCACAUUUUCGCCCAUUUGUUCGGUAACGUGUUGCCUCGCCUCUACUUCUUUCUCCCUGCCGCACCACCGACCUCGCAGCGGGCUGCACCGCACUCCCCACCCGCACCCGCCCAACGGCGUCGAACGUGAUCGUCGCAUCGCUGCAUCGAAACCAAUGGAGUUCAAGCGGUCAAACUCGUCUCGCGGACCGCUCAGGUCCGGCCGCCGAGGCCACCCGGUCGGGGUCGCCACACCAAAGCGAUCAACCACCCCGCUCAAGAAGAACUCCGAGCGCGGCGCACCCACACCUCCAGCGGCAGCAGGGCCUGCCGCAAGCCCUGCGCCGCCCCUGCCGCCGCGUACGCCGGAGCCGCAAUCGGCGCGCUACUCGGCGAAGGAGUCUCCUCGUCCGCCAAGCACAACGACCUUCGAGCGUAGUGUCUCGGGGACCGGGAGCAAGGGCACCUUCAAGCGCUCCGCCACGGCUGUCGGCAUGCGCCGCGCGGAGGCGAUUAAGCACAACAACCGCGUGAACGUGUACGUGCGCGUGCGCGCGUUCCGCGAAGACGAGACGAGCGGGGACAUGGGUCAGCUGGCGGUGAACAUGGACGACAGCGCUGUGGAGGUGACGGUGCCGAAGAAGGGCCGCUUCACGUUUGGGUUCGAUGGCUGCUUCUGGAGCAACGACCGUGCGUGCCCGUCUGGAAAGGCGUCGGCGUCGCAGGAGGACGUGUUCGACGAGGUCGGGCGGCCGCUUGUGGAGAACGCGCUGGCGGGGUACAACGCUGCCGUGAUGGCGUACGGGCAGACGGGGAGCGGGAAGACGUACACGUCGUUCGGGCCGCCGGGGUCGAUCGGGACGUCGCAGGAGGGCCUGAUUCCGCGCGUAUGCAACAUGAUCUUCUCGCGCGCGGCAAACAGCGCGCAGAAGGGCGUGACGUACACGGUGUCUGCGUCGAUGCUGGAGGUGUACCUGGAGGACGUGUUCGACCUGCUGAACCACCGCAAGCAGCUGAGUGUGCGGAACGACUUCACGAGCAACACGUUCAGCGUUGUUGGGCAGAAGACGGUGCCCGUGAACAGCUACAUGGACGUGCUUGCGGUGCUGAACAAGGCGGAGCCGUUGCGGACGUUCGCGGCGACGAACAUCCACGACCACUCAUCGCGCGCGCACACGCUAUUCAUGCUGGAGGUGCAGACGCACUUCGACGCGCCGGAUCUUGCACCGCGGUGCGCGAAGAUCCUGCUUGCGGAUCUCGCGGGGUGCGAGCGGAUCCGGCUUGCGGGGACGGAGGAGGGGCUUGCGUUCGAGCAGGCGCGCAACAUCAACCUGUCGCUGCUGGCGCUGGGGUCGUGCAUCGAGGCGGUUGCGACGCGUGGGCGGGGCAGCUCGCGGCCGAUCCCGGAGUUUCGCAACAGCACGCUGACGAAGCUGCUGAAGGACUACAUUGGCGGGAACAGCAUCUCGACGAUGAUGGUGACGAUCUCGCCGAGCGAGCGCGACGCGAACCUGUCUGUGCAGACGCUGCGGUUUGCUGACCGCGCGAAGCAGAUCACGACGCACGCGCACGUGAACACGGUGGACCCGCAGCAGGCGAAGCGGACGGGAGCGAGCUGGGCGACCGGUGGCGCGACGAGUACCUGCGGAAGAAGGAGGCGCUGUACGCAGAGUACCAGCUCAAGGGGACCAUCGAGAAGCUGCUUGCACGGAUCGCGGAACUGGAGGCGAGGCUGCGUGAGUGCGCGGACGACGAGGUUUGCGCUGCACCUGACGACGGAGAUCGAGGAGCUGCAGAAGGCGCUGACGGGAGGCGGACUACCAGAUGGGGCUGCAGCGGCAGAUCCUGUACGGCGAGUUCCUGCUGCUGGAGGACGAGCUGCGCGAGCUAAAUACGAAGAUGCAGGAGAUGAAGGAGGAGCACGAGGAGGCGAUGGAGGGGAUUCUUGGCGAGGAGGCCGGGCGGUUCGAGAGAUGAAGCGCGGCUACGAGACGCGGCUGCGCGCGCUGCAGAGCGAGAGCGACGCUGCGCUUGCUGCGUCCACGGACGAGAUCGCUGCGCUGCGGCGCCUGGUGGCGGAGCUGCAGGAGCGCCUCGCGGCAAAGGAGACAGAGUGCGCAGACCUUGCGGGCCGGCUGAGUGCGCUGCAGGCAAAGUACGACGCGGACACCUGCGCCGCCGAGCGCGCGCGCAGUGAGCUGGAAGCACAGCUGGCGGAGUCGGAGAAGCAGGUGGGCGAGCUGGCGGAGCGCCAGACCCAGAUCAUGCUCGAAGAAGAGACGCUAAAGGCUACCGUGGAGCGACUGAACGCGGAUAUGGAGAGCACCGAGGAGACGCUGCAGGAGACGUCCGCCAAGCUCGCCGACACCGAGGAGACGCUGCAGGAGACGUCUGCCAAGCUCGCCGACACCGAGGAGGCGCUGCAGGAGACGUCCGCCAAGCACACCGAGGAGAUGCGUGCCGCAGAGAUCGCGUCGUUGACGGAACAGCUGGGCGUGGCGCACAGUUUGGCUGAGCAGCACUGCGCGUACAUGAAUCAGCUGAUGGCGUACGUGAACGCAGCAUACAACGUUACUCUGGAUGGGAUGACGGAGGUGCAGGCGACGGCACUGGCCGAUAUGCUUAGGCAGUGCGACUAUGUGCUUCGCUCUGUGGCGCAGGCUGCCAGUGACGAGGUGGAGCACGUAAAGGAGAUGUACCAUAUGGUCGCUGGCAACUACAAGGAGACGGCAGCGCGCUUCGAUAUACUGCGCCGCAUUCUGGGAAAGAUCGAUCAGGAUGUCAAGGAGGCGAGCGUGGAGAUCGACGCCCCGGAGCGGCGGCAGACCGGCUCCUUAAACCCGACACCGCGGCGCUUGGGUGACGUGUCGAACCGCGAGAACAGCAUGGAGAGCAAAACCCGCUCCUCAUCUCGGCUGUCUGCAAGGCCACUUUAGGCGUUCCUGGCGUUCGUCGAGGAGGAGCGGCUGCCUUGAUGGUGAUUGUUUGUAGCAUAUGCUCGCCUGAAAGUGUGGGGGGUGAUGAUGCGCUUUUUGUUUGGUAUAGGGCAACGUCGGUGUGCGCCGGAGGGUGGAGCCCCACGUGUCGUGUGCUCGCUAGCAGAACUCUCGGCGGAGCAGCCUUGCGCCUCGGGUGUUGUUGGGCGAUGUCCUUCUCUCGCCGUUCCUCACGCCCUCGCCGAUUGGGUCUCUGGGCAUUGCCCAUCGGUGGGAGCUGCGGGUGUACGCUAUACGGGAGUGUGCUCGUAAUUUCUUUGGAUUUCUUAGAUUUUAUAUCUGCAUCGGAUGCUAUCAUUGUGCGCCUGCCCCGGUGUGUCUGUCCGUGGCUCCUGCUCUCAUCGCCGAGAGCCUUUGCUCAUGUGCCCACAUAGUGCGCGGUGAGUGGACAAGAUGGUGAGAUGAAUCGGGCCUUGGGUAGCGGACUGGUGGUCAGCGAUGCUCCAAGGCGAUGGCCGUGCGUAGAUUCUGAUGCCUAGUGCAUAUCUGCAUAUAUAUGCAUACACGGGGCUCGAAUAUUGCCCGGCGCCAUGUGCGACCGUCCUCCCGUUCUUGUCGACACGGAGACGGACGUGCGUGUGCACGCCUGCCGAUUUUUCCCUCCGUGCUCGCACGUGCCUCGCGUUCUGUUCCUUGUGUAGAUUUGUGCACCCUCUGCGUAGACUCGCGGUGCACCGCAAUCUGGAGAGGAGGAGACAGACAUACAGCGAGAGCGAGAGCGAGAGCGCGUGCGGCUGCGGCCAUUGUCGUGGCGCAUGUCCUUUGCACGCGUGCGUGUCUCUGUACCCAACAUAAUAUCUUGUUUACAUCUCGCGCUCGGCGUGUCGGCGUGCACGUGUACGUGUGCAUAUCCACGUACGUACGUGCGCACGUGUGUGUGUGUGUGUAUGCGUGUGUAGGCAUGUGUGCUGAAUACGCAAGGGGGCGGGGACUGGAAG